UCUGUGGUAAGAUGGCCGCCCUGUGCGGACGUUCUGGAAUACGCGGUGAGGAAUCUAGUCUUCUAUGUAAAUCUAUGGCUCCUACCCACACCCUUCGGAAAUGUCUACGACCGAGACCAGACUAAAUAUUCACAUUUAGUCUGGCUUGCCAGGCUACCAGUUUCUGUCAUGUUGACUGAAUAAAAAAAAAAAAAACGAGCUCAGUCUCUACCGGAAAUGGAAUACCUUCAAAUGUCGGCAGGAAAGUUUAUUAAGCACUCCGGAGCAGAAGGUGGCGCUGAUGCGCCGAUAAGUUGGAGGCCAAAUAAGCCAAGAAGAAGAAGACUUGCAAAAUUAUGGAAAAGUCUCCAUUUUCUUCAACAACAAGUCACUGAAAAAAGCAUGGAUCAGAACACCAUCAAUGAGGCCAUUGAAGACCCCACCGUUGGGAUCCAUGUUCUUUAAGAACAUGAUUCAAGUGAUGAAGCAGAAAACAUUGGCAUUGUUCUUGAAGGCAUCAAGGUGUUCCAAGAUCUUGAUAAUGUAGCAUUAGCUGCUAUGCUGUUUGGACUGAUGUAUGCACUGAACCUCAGCUACCCUGCUGACCUCCGCUACACUUUUGAGGUAAUCCGAAAGAUUUGGAUGGAACUGGAUGGAGGUAAACUUUUUCCAACAAAGCACUUGCUCUGAAAAACAGUCUCUCUCAGUGAAUGGGUCAGACUGAGUUCUGUUGCAUAUCCACUUUUGUGUGUGUGUUUAUUUCUCAGUGAUGAGUUUAUGCAGGGUUGAUUACUUUUUGUUUGUAAAUCCACUUUGAUUUGUCAAAGUUGUCAGCUGUGUAAAAUGGUGUUCACAGGGUUAACCCUCAUGUUAAAGGUUUUUUUUUUUUAAUGAAGCACUAGAGCUUAUUUUGUCUUAUUCAGUUUGUGGCAUGUUUGGUUUACGUCAAUAAAAUACUGUUAUUGUUUUGUAUUCACUCGAUGCACUGUUGCGCUGUACUAACAGUUCAGUAUUUUUUAUUUUAUUUUAUUUUUUUAAAUGUACUAUAAGUUUAUACUGUAUCUGCUGUGUGUUUAUGCUGAAUUUACUGUAUGGCAACUACACAGAGUCCUUCUGUUCAGGUAAAAUGUGUGAUCUGUAAAGUUUUAAGGAUCAAUACAGUCAAAGUUUAAUACAGAA